rnacentral:rRNA from 1 species
CCUACGGGGUGCAGCAGUGAGGAAUAUUGGUCAAUGGUCGGGAGACUGAACCAGCCAAGCCGCGUGAGGGAUGAAGGUACAGAGUAUCGUAAACCUCUUUUGUCAGGGAACAAAGGCGGGGACGUGUCCCCGGAUGAGUGUACCUGAAGAAAAAGCAUCGGCUAACCCCGUGCCAGCGGCCGCGGUAAUACGGGGGAUGCGAGCGUUAUCUGGUUUUAUUGGGUUUAGAGGGUGCGCAGGGGGUCUGUUAAGUCAGCGGGAAAAGCCCGGGGCUAAACCCCGGCCCGCCGUUGAAACUGGGAGUCUCGAGUGGGGGAGAGGUAUGCGGAAUGCGCGGUGUAGCGGAGAAAUGCGUAGAUA